GCGUGCUAUACAUGCAGUCGAGCGGACAGAUGGGAGCUUGCUCCCUGAUGUUAGCGGCGGACGGGUGAGUAACACGUGGGUAACCUGCCUGUAAGACUGGGAUAACUCCGGGAAACCGGGGCUAAUACCGGAUGGUUGUUUGAACCGCAUGGUUCAGACAUAAAAGGUGGCUUCGGCUACCACUUACAGAUGGACCCGCGGCGCAUUAGCUAGUUGGUGAGGUAACGGCUCACCAAGGCGACGAUGCGUAGCCGACCUGAGAGGGUGAUCGGCCACACUGGGACUGAGACACGGCCCAGACUCCUACGGGAGGCAGCAGUAGGGAAUCUUCCGCAAUGGACGAAAGUCUGACGGAGCAACGCCGCGUGAGUGAUGAAGGUUUUCGGAUCGUAAAGCUCUGUUGUUAGGGAAGAACAAGUGCCGUUCAAAUAGGGCUAGAGCACCUAGUGGACGGUACCUAACGCAGAAUAAGCCACCGGCUAACUACUGUGCCAGCAGCCGCGGUAAUACAGUAGGGUGGCAAGCGUUAGUCCGGAAUUAUUGGGCGUAAAGGGCUGCGCAGGCGGUUUCUUAAGUCUGAUGUGAAAGCCCCCGAGCUCAACCGGGGAAGUGUCAUUGGAAACUGGGGAACUUGAGUAUGCAGAAGAGGAUGAGUGGAAUUCCACGUGUAGCGGUGAAAUGCGUAGAGAUGUGGAGGAACACCGAGUGGCGAAGGCGAGCUCAUCUGGUCUAGUAACUGACGCUGAGGUAGCGAAAGCGUGGGGAGCGAACAGGAUUAGAUACCCUGGUAGUCCACGCCGUAAACGAUGAGUGCUACUAGCUGUUUAGGGGGUUUCCGACCCUUUAGUGGCUGCAGCUAACGCGAUUAAGCACUCCGCCUGGGGAGUACGGUCGCAAGACUGAAACUCAAAGGAAUUGACGGGGGCCCGCACAAGCGGUGGAGCAUGUGGUUUAAUUCGAAGCAACGCGAAGAACCUUACCAGGUCUUGACAUCCUCUGACAACUUUCCUAGAGAUAGGACUGGUCCCCUUCGGGAGUCUAGAGUGACAGGUGGUGCAUGGUUGUCGUCAGCUCGUGUCGUGAGAUGUUGGGUUAAGUCCCGCAACGAGCGCAACCCUUGAUCCUUAGUUGCCAGCAUUUCAGUUGGGCACUCUAAGGAUGACUGCCGGUGACAAACCGGAGGAAGGCGGGGACGACGUCAAAUCAUCAUGCCCCUUACGACCAGGGCUACACACGUGCUACAAUGGACAGAACAAAGGGCAGCGAAACAGCGAGGUGAAGCCAAUCCCAAAAAGCCGAUCGUCAGUCCGGAUCGCAGUCUGCAACUCGACUCCAUGAAGCCGGAAUCGCUAGUAAUCGCGGAUCAGAAUGCCGCGGUGAAUACGUUCCCGGGCCUUGUACACACCGCCCGUCACACCACGAGAGUUUGUAACACCAGAAGUAGCUGAGCCUAACCUGCAAAGAGCGCAGCCGCCGAAGGUGAA
rnacentral:rRNA from 1 species